GAUGAACGCUAGCGGCAGGCCUAAUACAUGCAAGUCUAGGGGGCAGCAAUGUCACCGGCGCACGGGUGCGUAACACGUAUGCAACCUACCUUCUUCAGGGGUACAGCCUUCCGAAAGGGAGAUUAAUACCGCAUAAGACCACACUGUUUCAUGACAGAGAGGUUAAAGAUUUAUCGGAAGAAGAUGGGCAUGCGUCUGAUUAGUUAGUUGGCGGGGUAACGGCUCACCAAGACGAUGAUCAGUAGGGGACCUGAGAGGGUAAUCCCCCACACUGGCACUGAGAUACGGGCCAGACUCCUACGGGAGGCAGCAGUAGGGAAUAUUGGGCAAUGGGCGCAAGCCUGACCCAGCCAUGCCGCGUGCAGGAAGAAGGCGUUAUGCGUUGUAAACUGCUUUUAUACAGGAAGAAAAAGGCCAUGCGUGGCAAACUGACGGUACUGUAUGAAUAAGCACCGGCUAACUCCGUGCCAGCAGCCGCGGUAAUACGGAGGGUGCAAGCGUUGUCCGGAUUUAUUGGGUUUAAAGGGUGCGUAGGCGGCUUUUUAAGUCAGCGGUGAAAGCCGGUCGCUCAACGACCGAACUGCCGUUGAUACUGAUUAGCUUGAGUUUGAUUGAGGCAGCCGGAAUGGAUAGUGUAGCGGUGAAAUGCAUAGAUAUUAUCCAGAACGCCAAUUGCGUAGGCAGGUUGCUAAGUCAUUACUGACGCUGAGGCACGAGAGUGCGGGGAUCAAACAGGAUUAGAUACCCUGGUAGUCCGCACCGUAAACGAUGAUGACUAGCUGUCGGGCUUUCGGGUUCGGUGGCACAGGGAAACCGUUAAGUCAUCCACCUGGGGAGUACGCCGGCAACGGUG
rnacentral:rRNA from 1 species